GUCGUCAAACAGCAAAAGGUAACUGCUGUAAAUUGUUGAGAAAUUCUCUCGAGUGUUUAUGGGCUCCAUCAUCAAACCUGGUCGUGCGACACAGAUGAUCACACAGCAAGUAAUUGCUAUAAAUCGUUGAAAAGUUCCCUCGAUUAUCUUUCGUCUCCAUCAUCAGACUGUAAUGGCACUUGUAACUUAUAUAGGUGCAAAGUUCUCAUCAAUAGAAACGAAUUAAGUUCAAA
rnacentral:misc_RNA from 1 species